GCCGGGGUAGCUCAGUUGGUAGAGCAGUGGACUGAAAAUCCACGUGUGGGCGGUUCAAUCCCGUCCCCCGGCACCA
rnacentral:tRNA from 2 species